GCAUCAUGGGGCACAUAUAUUUCCUCUUGGAAGGCAGAGGGAUCAGUCUUCAGAGAGAGGAAGGUUGGCGCUGGAUGGACCUAGGACAGAAGUAACACAGUCCAUGCACCUGAGUGUCACGUUUGCGGUGAGCUUCCAGGCGCGGGGCUGGUGCAGGCACUCCCUUCUCCCAGGUGCCAGCAGAGAUGAGAAGGGGAAGCCAGAGAGGUCCCGCCAUCCCCAGACAGGGGUAAGGCUCCCAAAGGAUGGGAUGUCCCCCUGCCCCCCGGACCAGACCCACAAACAUGGAAACCCCCCAACCAGAAGUGGAUGUGGAGGACCCCUCCUCAGAUGGCUGCCUUACCAUACCUCACCUGCCUCCUCUUCCAUGCCUGCACCCCGUUACUUGGAGUUCCCCAAAUGUGCCACGUUCUUUCUUGCUUCUGGUCUUUGCACAUGUUUGCUCUGCCCAGAACCCCCUCCCCCUUCCACCUUACUCUCACCCCAAACUGGUGAAAACUGCUUGCCCCUGGCUAAACCCCCUAGAAGGCUGCCCUGCCUCCUUGCCUUCUUGCCUGUGCUGCUGGCUGGGUUGGGCAGCUCCCACGCCUCCUGCCUGAGU